CCGAGGGGCGCUGGCGCAUGCCGGCUGAGAGGGAGCGUAUCGCCGCUCCGACCCUAGAACCUGAUCCGGGUAAUGCCGGCGAAGGGACGCGAG
rnacentral:ncRNA from 1 species